rnacentral:rRNA from 1 species
AGUGAACGCUGGCGGUAGGCCUAACACAUGCAAGUCGAACGGCAGCACAGUAAGAGCUUGCUCUUACGGGUGGCGAGUGGCGGACGGGUGAGGAAUACAUCGGAAUCUACUUUUUCGUGGGGGGUAACGUAGGGAAACUUACGCUAAUACCGCAUACGACCUACGGGUGAAAGCAGGGGAUCUUCGGACCUUGCGCGAUUGAAUGAGCCGAUGUCGGAUUAGCUAGUUGGCGGGGUAAAGGCCCACCAAGGCGACGAUCCGUAGCUGGUCUGAGAGGAUGUUCAGCCACACUGGAACUGAGACACGGUCCAGACUCCUACGGGAGGCAGCAGUGGGGAAUAUUGGACAAUGGGCGCAAGCCUGAUCCAGCCAUACCGCGUGGGUGAAGAAGGCCUUCGGGUUGUAAAGCCCUUUUGUUGGGAAAGAAAAGCAGCAGGUUAAUACCCCGCUGUUCUGACGGUACCCAAAGAAUAAGCACCGGCUAACUUCGUG